UAGAGAGAAACUACUCAAGAU
rnacentral:piRNA from 1 species